rnacentral:rRNA from 1 species
CACUACGAGUGAAAACUUAAAACUUAAAAGACUUGACGGUACUUCACACCCAACCUAGAGGAGCCUGUCUACUAACCGAUAACCCACGAUUAAUCCAACCACUUCUAGCCAUCCAGCCUAUAUACCGCCGUCGCCAGCCCACCUUGUGAAAGAGAUUAAGUGGACAAAACAGCACUACGCUAAUACGACAGGUCGAGGUGUAGCUCAUGAAGUGGGACAAGAUGGGCUACAUUAUCUAACUUAGAUCACACGGACAAAGCCAUGAAAACUGACUCUAAAAGGAGGAUUUAGCAGUAAGCUGAGAACACAAUACUCAACUGAAAACAUUGCAAUGAAGUGCGUACACACCGCCCGUCA